CCUACGGGAGGCAGCAGUGAGGAAUAUUGGUCAAUGGGCUAAGGCCUGAACCAGCCAAGUCGCGUGAGGGAAGAAGGUCCUAUGGAUUGUAAACCUCUUUUGUCGGGGAGCAACGAGGCCACGUGUGGCCGAAGUGAGAGUACCCGAAGAAAAAGCAUCGGCUAACUCCGUGCCAGCAGCCGCGGUAAUACGGAGGAUGCGAGCGUUAUCCGGAUGUAUUGGGUUUAAAGGGUGCGUAGGCGGAACAUUAAGUCAGCGGUAAAAUCGAGGGGCUCAACCCCUUUAAGCCGUUGAAACUGGUGUUCUUGAGUGGGCGAGAAGUAUGCGGAAUGCGUGGUGUAGCGGUGAAAUGCAUAGAUAUCACGCAGAACUCCGAUUGCGAAGGCAGCAUACCGGCGCCCGACUGACGCUGAGGCACGAAAGCGUGGGGAUCGAACAGGAUUAGAUACCCUGGUAGUC
rnacentral:rRNA from 1 species